CAAAGGAUUUUCCUUGAGCCGUGACAUUCGGUGCUGGAUAAAGGACAUGUCCUUUAUCCAGCACCGAAUGUCACGGCUCAAGGAAAAUCCUUUGU